UGGGGAAUAUUGCGCAAUGGGGGGAACCCUGACGCAGCCAUGCCGCGUGAAUGAAGAAGGCCUUCGGGUUGUAAAGUUCUUUCGGUAUUGAGGAAGGUUGAUGUGUUAAUAGCACAUCAAAUUGACGUUAAAUACAGAAGAAGCACCGGCUAACUCCGUGCCAGCAGCCGCGGUAAUACGGAGGGUGCGAGCGUUAAUCGGAAUAACUGGGCGUAAAGGGCACGCAGGCGGUUAUUUAAGUGAGGUGUGAAAGCCCUGGGCUUAACUUAGGAAUUGCAUUUCAGACUGGGUAACUAGAGUACUUUAGGGAGGGGUAGAAUUCCACGUGUAGCGGUGAAAUGCGUAGAGAUGUGGAGGAAUACCGAAGGCGAAGGCAGCCCCUUGGGAAUGUACUGACGCUCAUGUGCGAAAGCGUGGGGAGCAAACAGGAUUAGAUACCCUGGUAGUCCACGCUGUAAACGCUGUCGAUUUGGGGAUUGGGCUUAGAGCUUGGUGCCCGUAGCUAACGUGAUAAAUCGACCGCCUGGGGAGUACGGCCGCAAGGUUA
rnacentral:rRNA from 1 species